CCACAUCAAUUUUACAUUCUAGAUUCAAGUGUACACGCGGCACAAAAAAGAAUCCCAAAAGCAAAUACCAAAUAAAUGUUGUUGGCCUAGGUCUGUCAAAGUAAUUGUUAGAUUAUAGGCUUAUUUAUUGCUCUCUCAUUACACCCUCUCCAAUUCAGUUUUGUGUUUAUCCAGUUGAUCUUUCAACUCCUUCCUCCAUCCUUGGAUCAGUCUCUCUUGCUUCUUAAUGAUCCCAUCCUUUAUCUUCAACUCUUCUUCCAUCACAGCAAUCUCCUUUCUCAGUGUUUCAGCCACAGUUGGUUGAUCUUCACGUUGGAGACCAAUAAAAUAAAGUUGAAGUUUCUUGGCAGCCUCCAUGAAAUCUCUGGCAUGCCUCUCAACAUCAAUCUGAUGAGAAGGGUGAGGAGAGCGAUCAAUGGCUUGGAGCUCCCUGGCGGGCAAGCAAGGAAGCAAAGCGUUUUCUAAGUGCAUAACGCAAUCAAGCAUGUCUUCUCUUGCUGGCUCUAGUAGUCGCUGUUGUUGCUGCUCCAGCGCUUGCCUCUCCGCCAUGCUCCUUUGCUCUUUCACUAAUUUCUCGUUCCCCCAAAUUUACCUGAGAAAUGAGAUGCCCUCACACUAAAUUUUCAAUUNNNNUGCGUCCCGAAUCACAGAAUCCAAACCACAAAUCCAACAAUUCAAUAACUCCCAACAAAGCCAACCCAAAUGGAGAAACAGAACCGAGGGGAAGAAUGGAGGGCGGUAAAGGCAAGAAGAACGAGAAGGAUAGGAAGAAGAAGAAGAAGAAAGGAGAACUGAAUAAUCAAUGGAAACAGGGGAAGAUGAAUACAAGUAAAUUGGUUUUUGCAACAAAGGAUUUAAG
rnacentral:misc_RNA from 1 species